rnacentral:lncRNA from 1 species
AGAAGCUAGGAUUUGGUAUUAGAUUUCCACAAAAGUCCACUAUUUGUUGGUAUUGGGAUGUGAUAUACCUGUGGCUGUGACUGAGAGGUCAUCGUGGCAAAGCUACUAUCUCCACUGGUGUGUCACCCCCCCCCCCCCCCCGCAUAUGUCCUCUGGGUGUGCUCAUAACAGUGUGUAAGGCCUGACAGAUGUGUGCCUCUUUCCUUCAGCAUUCGGGAAAUAGCGCAGUCCCACAGAGACAUGGAACAGGAACUCGCACAUGCUGUCAACGCCAGCUCCAAAGCCAUGGAGCGAGUGUACGGCAAGCCCAGAGCUGCAGAGGGGUUGAACUGCAGCUUUGUUCUGGAGAUGGUGAAUAACAUCAGAGCACUGCGCAGUGAGACAGAGCUGCUGCUGGCUGGGA